ACGGGGUGCAGCAGGCGCGAAAACUUCGCAAUGCGCGAAAGCGUGACGAGGUUAGCCCGAGUGCCGUCCGCUGAGGAUGGCUUUUCUUUGGUGUAAGGAGCCAGGGGAAUAAGAGGAGGGUAAGUCUGGUGUCAGCCGCCGCGGUAACACCAGCCCCUCGAGUGGUGGGGACUAUUAUUUGGCCUAGAGCGUCCGUAGCUGGCUGUAUCCGUCUCCCGGUAAAUCCGGCGUCCUAAGCGUCGGUUCUCGGGUGAUACCAUACAGCUAGAGGGUGGGAUAGGUGAGCGGUAUUUCUGGGGUAGGGGCGAAAUCCUUUGAUCCCAGGAGGACCACCAGUGGCGAAGGCUGCUCACUAGAACACGCCUGACGGUCAGGGACGAAAGCUGGGGCAGCGAACCGGAUUAGAUACCCGGGUAGUCCCAGCUGUAAACGAUGCUAGCUAGGUGUUGGGUCGGCCACGCGCCGCCCCAGUGCCGCAGGGAAGCCGUUAAGCUAGCCGCCUGGGGAGUACGGCCGCAAGGCUGAAACUUAAAGGAAUUGGCGGGGGAGCAC
rnacentral:rRNA from 1 species